rfam:Salmo salar isolate Sally breed double haploid chromosome ssa14, whole genome shotgun sequence.
UGGCUCAGUUGAUAGAGCAUGGUGUUUGCAACGCCAGGGUUGUGGGUUCGAUUCCCAU